UCCAGCAUCGCUGGGUGAGGAUGUUACCUCCAGCCAAAUGCAACGGAAUUAUGAGAUGAAAGAAAACACCUUGCUCUAGCCGAGGCAGGUGAUAAGCAGAUUACCCUUGAAAGGCUUUCAGAGGGAGACUAUAACAAACUCAGCUCACAGAGGAGAAAAAUGAGAUUGUGAGCCAUGCUUCCGAUCUUGCCCUGGAAGACAGAAGUUGCCUCUCAUCACACCCACCCUGCAGGCAGAACUCGGGGAGCGGACACAUUCACCAGCAGCUUCCCUGAGCGCUGAGUGCUUUAUAGCAGGAUGACCAGGAGAGACUUCAAGACCUAUCGAUGAAUGAAUACCUCUAUAGUGGAUGUUCUCAGCAGCUUCCCUGCUCUCCGAGAAGAUCCGAAGUCAGCCGGGCCAUAGAGGUCAUCCGUGGGGAGUGCCGGCCGUACUCAGGCUCCAUCGUCGAUAUGAAGUUAGUGAGAUGAACUUCAGCAAAUGAUCUUCCACAUCAGAGCUUGGAAACUUUCUUGUUUCUACUUGUGCUAACCCCCAAAGGUACAUGAGCUGCAAAAGGAUUAGAGUACUCAUACACUUCAGCUACAAAGAUUUCCUUAUAAAUUCUUCCUCUUAUUACUAUAGUGACAUAAACAUGGUGCAUUGGGAUUCAAUUAACAUAGUUCCAGGGUCUGAGCGUGUUGGACGGUAGUAGCAUUUUUUUUUCUCCUAAUAUCUUAAACCAGCACAUCAUUUCUUUAUUAAAGACUUUUCUGCCACAAGUAUGGGCAGUGGUAUGCUGCUGUUUAUAACAACCUGCUCUCCCGGAAUAAAAAACCCCGGGUGUGUCAUGCCAUUUGCCAAAUUCUGUGAAGUAAAUACUCUCACCACAGCUAAUCAACCAUCAGCUACUGAAGAAGUCACUGAAAAGUGAGGUUGGGUGGUCUCUGUGCAGCGGGCUCCAACGAACCAGUAUGAACCUUCCUUGAUAUUCAAUCGUCACUGCGCCCAACACCUCGCAAGCUGCCAAUGAGACAUUUUGUAAGUAUCGUUUAGGAUAACAGUGUUGUCCUUGGAGCCAGGGCAGCAGGAACUGGAUAUUCCAGGUGAUGGAGGAAAGCAUAUCCGGCUGGAACACGCUGCUCUGUUUUGUAUCGGAAAUAAUCAUAAAUACACCUUGGUGUGUUUAUGUUAGCUGCCCUUCCCAGACCAGGCCUGUCUGCAAAAGCAAUCGGAGAAUAUGGAUGGCAAUAACAACAAUAACCAAAACAGGUGCCCAAGGAUUCUCCAAAGACCCCAAAAGGACCUCAUUCCUUGGCAGAAUCCUAAAAAGCUCAUUAGCAGAUAUUAAAAUUCUCCCGCGUGGUCACCAGUAGGAGUCUCUGCACUGCCCUCUAGUGGUUUCAAUGGUGGCCGUCACCUAGUGGUGGAUGACUACUUCCGGACCACACUGUCCCCUUCUUCUCAAGUGUGUUCUUGUCACUGAAGCUGUCUGUCCUCCGUAAGGUGUGAAGAGAAGCCGCCUGACCACGGAUACAUGGGUAAUUGGACCCCACUUCUUUGGAGAAAUUUGAUACAAAAUUCCCACAUGCUGAAUGGGAAAAUCGCUGUCUCAGCAGAGAAGGAAGAGCUUCUUUCUCAGAGAGGAAAAGGAAAAGACUGGCAAAGUUCUCCCUGCAGAAAGGCCUUGGAAAGGUGCCUGUUUGGAAGAACCUUGAAAGCCAGCUCCAGGCAUCUCUGUUUUAACCCACAAGAUUUGGGGUCAGAGCCUAUUGUGUGUCUCUCUGGAGCACCAGCAUCAGUCCAGAUAGUGACACACUGGAUCCCAUAUUCACAGAGGAAGCAAAUGCUCAAGGACGUUUGAAGAACUAAUGCAUCGCAGACAGGGGAUUUGAACUCACAUCUGUUGACACCGGCUGCAGUGAACACAUCACCCUGAUCAUCAGGGACAUUGAUGUCAGUUAUUGGUGGCUGAUGCACAGCGACAGGACAGAUGUGGAAUGAGGAUUUAAUCAAUCGUGCCUCUGUAAUGAAGCCUCCAUAAAAAUCCCAAAGGAUGGGGUUUGCAGACCUCCUAGGUUAGUGAACCUGUGGAGAUUUGGGGGAGUGGUGUGCCUGGAGAGGGCAGGGAAGCUCUGCACCCCUUCCCCAUACCUCUGUCUGUUCCUGAAUUAUAUCCUUUUAUAAUAAACUGGUAAUCUAGUUUAAAAAAAAAAAAAAAGAAUGAGGAAGGAUGGCACCUUGGUGCCUCAGUUCAUUAAGCAUCUGAUUCUUGAUUUCAGCUGAGAUCAUGAUCGCAGGAUCACGGAAUCUAGCCCCAUGUCCGGCUCCACACCCAGCUUAAGAUUCUCUCUCUCCCUCUUCCUCUGCCCCACCCCCACCUCUUAAAAAAAAAAUCAGAGAUGGAAUGAGAUACGCACAAAUGUUGCUUAAGUCCCUAUAUCCUUGGAAAUUUCAUUCCAAACCAAGUUUUCAAGGGUAGUUCCCAUCUACUGAGAAUUCCAGCUAUCUUGUGAGUGACAGAACAGAGUCAUCUAAAGGGGUGGGAAGACCAGGAUGACCCAGGCGAGUAGACUCACUACAAGAACUGGGAUCCUCAGAGUGAUUUCAGGUCACGCUGCAGACACCUGAGGCAGCAGAGGUCAGGCUGUAAGCAAGACAAGGGGCACCUCCGAGAACGUGCUCUCACUCAGGCAAAUUCAGAGAAGUUUUGGGACGCCUGGGUGGCUCAGUGGGUUAAAGCCUUUGCCUUCGGCUCAGGUGAUGGUCCCAGAGUCCGAGGGUCCUGGGAUCGAGCCCCGCAUCGGGCUCUCUGCUCAGCAGGGAGCCUGCUUCCCCAUCUCUCUCUCUCUCUGCCUGCCUCUCUGCCUACUUGUGA